rnacentral:rRNA from 1 species
GACGAACGCUGGCGGCGUGCUUAACACAUGCAAGUCGAACGGAAAGGCCCUGCUCUUGCUGGGUGCUCGAGUGGCGAACGGGUGAGUAACACGUGAGUAACCUGCCCUUGACUUUGUGAUAACUUCAGGAAACUGGGGCUAAUACCGGAUAGGAGCUCCUGCUGCAUGGUGGUGGUUGGAAAGUUUCGGCGGUUGGGGAUCGACUCGAGGCUUAUGAGCUUGUUGGUGGGGUAGUGGCUUACGAAGGCUUUGACGGCUAGCCUGCCUGGGAGGGUGACCGGGGACAUUAGGCCUACGAGAGGGCGCAGACUGGAACGGGAGGCAACGGUGGGAAGUAUGACACAACGAGGGGGCGCGAGAGACGGCAGCGCUGGGUGCGGAAUGACGGCCUUCGAGUUAUGAACCGCUUUGGCCUGUGACGAGGCGUGAGUGACGGUAAUGGGUAAAGAAGCACCGGCUAACUACGUG